CCUACGGGUGGCUGCAGUGGGGAAUCUUGCACAAUGGGCGAAAGCCUGAUGCAGCGACGCCGCGUGAGCGAUGAAGCCCUUCGGGGUGUAAAGCUCUUUCGACGGGAACGAUAAUGACGGUACCCGGAGAAGAAGCUGCGGCUAACUACGUGCCAGCAGCCGCGGUAAUACGUAGGCAGCGAGCGUUGUUCGGAAUUACUGGGCGUAAAGAGUGUGUAGGCGGUGUUCCCAGUCUGUUGUGAAAUCUCCCGGCUUAACUGGGAGGGUGCAGCGGAAACUAGAAUGCUAGAGGGUGGGAGAGGUAAGCGGAAUUCCUGGUGUAGCGGUGAAAUGCGUAGAUAUCAGGAGGAACACCUGUGGUGUAGACAGCUUACUGGACCACUUCUGACGCUGAGACACGAAAGCGUGGGUAGCAAACAGGAUUAGAUACCCUUGUAGUC
rnacentral:rRNA from 1 species